GGCCUCCACGGCGUCGUGAAGCAGGAACCGGUGUAUCGAGUCAGUGAAAAUCACAGAUCAACCAAGGCGACUCAGCAGGAGACGUCUCAUGAAAAAUCUGAUCAUGUGUAUUGCUCAGUGUGUGGUUUAAAAAAUCAUGUGUCAUCAAAGUGCCGUUUUAAAGGUUAUCGGUGUAAUAAUUGUGGCCAAAAAGGGCAUUUAAGGAAGGUUUGCCGUGCUGAAAAGAGUGAGAAGUUAAGGUUAAAUAACAUAGAAAGCGAUUGUAAGGAAUGUGAAGUCUUUAACCUUAGGGUCUCUAAUUAAUGUUGGAGGGAUGAUGUAUAUGUGGGUAUACCAAAGUGGGUAUACCAAUAAAAACUAUCCAACGGAUAUAAAUGUAAAGGUGUCGCGACCGUUGACUUAGUAAUAAACCAGCUUGAGUUCGUA